rnacentral:lncRNA from 1 species
GGUGUCCUCCCACAAGCUCCUGUGUUAAUGCAGGAGGUGAAAUGAUUAGAUUAGGAAAGCCGUGAUCUAAUCAGUUGUGUGGUGCUGGGGCUCAGACCCAGGAAGCAAGGUUGGAGCUCAGCAGGUAGAAGAAGAUGCAAGACACAGGAACAGUAGACAUGCUUUAUUCAAAGAUGGCAACAGCCUCCAGCUUCAGGUUUAGCAUCUAGCCAGUUCCAUCCCCCCCCCCCCCCAAGAAAGCAUUUUCAUAGGUCCUUUUUAUAUGCAGGCCAAAGAAGGCACACUGCCAACAGGUUACAUAAGUGGGCAUAUGCUCACAAGCAGGUGUUUAUUACCUUUAGUACAUAUGCUGAAUCAGAGUGUUUCUGACCUGACAACUCAAUGACCAUACAGCUGAUUCAUGGCCUUGGUUAUAAAGUAAAAUAGCCUGUUGGAAGCCUUGGCAAGGAAGCAAUUUUGAGCUCCAACAAAUGGAUUAACCCAUUUGAUGGAUUAAUGGUUUGAUAAAGUGGGUCAUUGGGGGGGCAUACCUUGGGGAUUAUAUUUAUUAUCCCUGGUUCCUCCUGCUCUCUCUCUGCUUCCCGGCCUCCAUGAAUGAAGCAGCUUUCCUCCACCAAGCCCUUUCGCCCUGAUGCUUUGCCUCACCUCUAGGCCAGAGUGAUGGAGUCAGUGGACCAUGGACUGAACUUCUGAAACUGUGAGUCCCAUAUAAACUUUUUCUCUGGUAGGUUGUUUGUCAGUUUUGGGGACACAGAGAUGAAAACCUGACAUAAAUAUUUUCAAUUUAUAUGCAAAAUUUGUAGAAAACAUAUAAUCAAUGAAAAAACUCUCUAACAAAAGUAUAUUACUUAAAUUUUUUUUUUUUAAGAUGGGUCUUACUGAGUUGCCCAGGCUAGCCAUGAAUUUGUGACCCUCUUGCCUCAUCCUCCAGAGUAGCUGGGAUUACAGGUGUUGUACCACCAUGCCCAAAACUAAUAGUAGGAUAAAAUGCUGUGGGAUAGUUGGAAAGGAUACAUGUAGCAGUCCUGCUUGAAUGAGAAACCACACAUUUUAAAAGGAAAUUUAAUAUAAAGAAUUCUUAACUAUGUUAUAAAUUAUAAGGUCACUAAUUUGGCACGCUAGGAAUGAGGAAGGAUACCCAAAGAAAGACAAACUCCAGGGUUCAAGCCCAGGGAUAGUUCUGCAAGGCCUGAGAUAGUCUGGAAUUGCUUUGUAUGCAACAGGCAAGGUCCGGAGCGCAGAUGGGGAAGUGUACUAACAGCAAAAAGUGGUAGGGACCUGCACUGGGAGCACCAGGGACUGAUGGGGGACACCUUUAAAACUGUGGCACAUGAAGUGUCUCUUGUUUCUGGGUGGAAAGGCUGAAGGAAAGUCAAGCUGCAAGUUUCAUAAAGGAACUUCAUCUGAACCCUGUUUGGGGUAAUUCUCACUAGAUGUCUUCAAACCCACACCUACCCUGACCUGCUCUAGAGCCAACAGAGAGCCUCUUCCUUCGGCUAUGUCCCCUGAGUGUCCUUACUGAGAAAUUAACUUUGUGCUCACUUUAGAACACUAAAAAGAAUUCUGAUACUAGCAUUUACUGAAGGAUGCAUUCAGGGCUAAAAGGCAAUAAACUGUUAACCGACAUUAUAUGAGGUCAAGGAAUAAAAUGAAUGACGUAAAAUUUCCAAGUGAUCAAGAGCUAAUUGCUUUUUAAUAGAUGGGUAUUCCAAUUCAAGUUCCAAAUGUUUUCCUUUUCCUUGCCAAUACAUGGUGUCCUUGCC